AAGACGAACCGUGCGAACGUUGUUCGGAUUCACUGGGCUUAAAGGGCGCGUAGGCGGGUUCUCAAGUCCGGGGUGAAAUCCUCUCGCUCAACGAGAGAACUGCCCCGGAUACUGGGGACCUCGAGGGAGGUAGGGGCAUGUGGAACUUCCGGUGGAGCGGUGAAAUGCGUAGAUAUCGGAAGGAACGCCGGUGGCGAAAGCGACGUGCUGGACCUCUACUGACGCUGAGGCGUGAAAGCCAGGGGAGCAAACGGG
rnacentral:rRNA from 1 species